rnacentral:tRNA from 11 species
CGUGGCCUAGUGGUCAGGACGCCGGGCUCAUAACCUGAAGGCCACUGGGUCGAGCCCGG